rnacentral:rRNA from 1 species
UACGAAGGGUGCAAACGUUUAUUCGGAAUCACUGGGCGUAAAGGGUGCGUAGACGGCAUGUUAAGUUCGUUGUUAAAGGCUCCGGCCUAACCGGAGUACCGCGAUGAAAACUGGCGUACUAGAGGGUGAGAGAGAGAAGUGGAAUUCCUGGAGUAGCGGUAAAAUGCGUGGAUCUCGGGAGGAACACCAAUGGCGAAGGCAGCUUCUUGGCUCAUUCCUGACGUUGAGGCACGAAAGCGUGGGGAGCAAACAGG